GCCGAGUUGAGUAACUACAACUUGUGACCCAAGUGGGGGCAAUAUUGUGAUGGAACAUGGCUUUGGCCCAACAGGUUGGACUGGUGGCCACACUUUGCUGGCCUGCCCACUCCAAGUUGAGAGUUAGGCCAUGGAAUUUGGGCGAAGGCUCAGGUUUCCUUGUCUCUAAAAUGGAGGGAACCGCAUGAGGCUGGCUUCACAGAGCAGUGAACACCUCCUGCUCUUGACAGUGGAGGGAUAACAGGCUGCUGUAGUCUCAGUCCACAUGGCCUGUUGAGUCUAGCCCAUUGAACCAUCACUUUU
rnacentral:SRP_RNA from 1 species